rnacentral:snRNA from 2 species
GUGCUCACUUCGGCAGCACAUAUACUAAAAUUGGACCGAUACAGAGAAGAUUAGCAUGGCCCCUGAGCAAGGAUGACAUGCAAAUUCGUGAAAGCUCUGAGGAGAAAAUCCAU